AACGGCUUAUUUUUUCGAUCUUUAUAUAUUUAUAACUCAUUUCUAUCUUUUCAUCCAUUACCAAUUAGUUCUGAGACAACAGAAAUUGAAAUUCAUACCUUUAAAUUUGUGUUAUUUUUGAUUUCUGGAAAUUUGUGGAGGAAGAAACCAGAUUUGUGAAGAACUGAAUAAUUAAAUAUACCUUCUCUCUAAAUAUUCGUGAAAUUUGCGGUCGAACGGAAGAACUAAAGAUUCCUGAAAUUUGCGGAAGAAAUUAAAGCUGAAAGAUGAAAGUUUGAGAUAGUAACUAAUGCGUGCUUCAGCCUUCAUAUGAACUUGAACUUGAAGAAGAUGAGUAGUAGUGUACAGCUGUACCACUCUAUUAGAGUGUGUGUGGCUCCCCUAAAAAAAAAAAAAAAAAGUAGAUGUGACAGCAGUGCAGCACCGCUCACUCAUAGUUAGUACAUUAUAGUUUUAUUACUUUAUAUUUAGUGGCUUUAUAGUUUUAUUACUUUAUAUUUUCAUAAUUUUAAUAUAUGUUCUUUGUACUAGAAGUAGUAUUAUAUGUUUUAGUAGGUAAAAUCUUGUAGUUUUCAGUUAUGUUCUUUGUACUAGGAGUAAUAUUUUAUAAUUUUAAGGAUUAAUGGUUAAUGAUAUUGUGUAUA